GCGUCGUCAUCCAUGAGAAGAAGGUGUCCAGCUUCGAAGUCUUCCUGAAGGAGGUGACCGGCGGCGUUCAGGCACCCUUUGGGGCCGUCAGGAACAUCUACACCCCGCGGACUGGCCACCGAAUCCGGAAGCUAGACCAGAUCCAGAGCGGGGGCAAUUACGUGGCUGGAGGCCAGGAAGCCUUCAAGAAACUCAAUUACUUGGACAUAGGAGAAAUCAAGAAAAGACCAAUGGAAGUUGUUAAUACAGAGCUACAUGUUCUCUGAUUGAAAUCCAUGGGAAGGUUCCCUGUCAAGUGAGAAGAUUCUGAGCGUUGUUAAAUAAAUCUUUACCAAAGCU
rnacentral:lncRNA from 1 species